rnacentral:rRNA from 1 species
AUUGAACGCUGGCGGCAGGCUUAACACAUGCAAGUCGAGCGGAGAUGAGGUGCUUGCACCUUAUCUUAGCGGCGGACGGGGGAGUAAUGCUUAGGAAUCUGCCUAUUAGUGGGGGACGACAUUCCGAAAGGACUGCUAAUACCGCAUACGCCCUACGGGGGAAAGAAGGGGAUCUUCGGACCUUGCUCUAAGAGCUGAGCCCAAGGCGGAGUGGCUAGUUGGUGGGGUAAAGGCCUACCAAGGCGACGAUCUGUAGCGGGUCUGAGAGGAUGAUCCGCCACACUGGGACUGAGACACGGCCCAGACUCCUACGGGAGGGAGGAGUGGGGAAUAUUGGACAAUGGGCGGAAGCCUGAUCCAGCCAUGCCGCGUGUGUGAAGAAGGCCUUUUGGUUGUAAAGCACUUUAAGCGAGGAGGAGGCUACCUGGAUUAAUACUCUAGGAUAGUGGACGUUACUCGCAGAAUAAGCACCGGCUAACUCUGUGCCAGCAGCCGCCGUAAGAC